CUUUAUGCCUUCAUUCUCCAUGAAAACCUCUGUUGGCUCGCACACCUUGACCUUGAUUCAGUAUUGCUGUGAGGCAGGGAAGGCAGGCAUGGUAACCCUCAGGGUUGUUGCUACGACUGGACAGUCAGGCUUAGAAUCAAGUUGGGGACUUCCAUAAUGAAAAGUCUGAGUCUCACUGCUUUCCCUGCAGUCAGAUUCCAGCUAGUGGCAGUUACUUCUGUUCCAUAAUGCAUCAAGGAAUACGGAGAUCCAAUGGAGAAGAGCAGUGCAAUGCUGAGAAACCUGCUAGGAUUCUGCAGAGCCUCGUCUUUGGCCACUGUCUUCUUUUGUUUGAGAACUGGAAAGAGCAGGAAUAGAGAGGAGUGUGAUGGACCCACCGCUGGCCAAGGCCAAAGCAGCCAGAGGAGGUGGUAAUGCCUUUGUGAUAUCAUACUUAAGAAGCAAAAGAGAAGUUACAGUGCAGAUGUAAUUGGGCUCAGAGAAGAGCAGAGUUAGAGUAAGAAGAGCAGCCCUGCAGACACCAAGGCUGGUGAAGGAGGGGCAGGAGGUGCUCCAGGCACCAGAGCUGAGGUUCCCCUGCAGCCGUGGUGGGACUGUGGUGAG
rnacentral:lncRNA from 1 species